rnacentral:rRNA from 1 species
UACAGAGGUGGCAAGCGUUGUUCGGAAUUACUGGGCGUAAAGGGCGAGUAGGUGGCCAUCUAAGCCAGACGUGAAAUCCCCCGGCUUAACCUGGGAACUGCGUCUGAUACUGGACGGCUUGAGUAUGGGAGAGGAACGUAGAAUUCCAGGUGUAGCGGUGAAAUGCGUAGAUAUCUGGAGGAAUACCGGUGGCGAAGGCGGCGUUCUGGACCAUUACUGACACUGAAUCGCGAAAGCUAGGGGAGCAAACGGG